UUGAGGAAACAUAGGGAAUAAUAAUAUAUACAUUGUAAGUGAUUAAUGAUGAAGCACUUUAUUUGUUUUUCUGUUUCUUUUUCCAGAAUUCACCAGGAGCGGUGCACGCGGGAAGAGUUUCUCAAAUUCAAAACCGGCUUAUGAGCGAACACAAAGUUUCCAAGAAACUAAUAACAUACGCGAUAAUUUCUAGCCUAAUAUAUUGGGGUGUGAUGUCGAAACUAGCAAGUCUUUUUGUCUUAUUACCGGAAUUGUAUAGAAAUGUUUGUUGCAGCCACAUAAACAAUGAAGAAACUAAAAGAAAUCAUGUCCAGAAGAAGAUAGACGAUUCUAGGCUCACAGUAUAAAAGUGUUUGUUUAAAAAAUUUUAAAAUCAGUAUUACUGCGGAGUCAGAAUCUGUUUGUUUCACCAAGAACAAUGGAGUUGUAUCCGUGGAAAACAUCUGUUGGUGUAAAAAGUUGAAGUGCAUGGUUAUACUCGGACGGAAAUUCCUUCAACUUAAGGAAAAAUUACUCAAUGGUUGGCUAAAGGUAACAUUAUUUUGUUGAAUGGACGAUCGCAGCCUUGCUCAUCAGUAAGCCUUAGUAAUUUUUAAUUACUUAGAUAGAAAUUUAGGAAAGUGUGUAACUAGUAUUUCCAUACUUUGGAUGUAUGAGAUUUGGAACAAAAUUUAUUUUGAAGUAUAGAUUUUGCCACAAAGUUGCCUUGAAAAUUAAAUUUCAAGCCCUGGCCAUCACCUAACACAAUGAAUUUUUUCAACUUUGAAGUUAUUUUUCUUGCAAUCUCAUGUAUGUUGCUUUUAUCUUUCAUCCACUGGAGUUCUUAAAUGUUGCCAGUUAGGGUAUUUAACGAUCUGAGUAUAGCAUCCUUUAACCACAGCUCCAUACAAUUCACUAAAGUCCUGUAGUUAGUGAAGUGGCACGUGAAUAUUUGACUACCAGUUUUUAUUAAUUCGUUUCAGACUUUUGCUCUUUUGUCAAAAAAACUGACGACUUAAAGGAAACUGCAAGGGAAAUGUGCAGUUUCCUAUUUUCAGAUGAAUUCGCCCAAAACUAUUCAAUGAUUGGACAAAGGGAGAAGAUGUCGUUUGUAGAGUUGCCCAUCGCAGCGCUGCUUAUCAGUAAGCCUUUUUAAUUUUUAAUUACUUAGAUAAAAAUUAAGGAAAACUGCAGAAUAUUUUCUUUCUGCACCUCCGUUUAUGGGUAGAAGAAGAAGAAAAAAAGUUUCCAAGGCAUCCAAAAAUGAAGGAACAAAUGUUUACAUCAACUUUUAUCGCCUGCAGAACGUAGGGUCUUUCAAAGGAGAAAUAUCUUGUUCAAAUCUUUGAGGGAAAGACACAAGAUUUUGCUUCAUUUAAGCCACUGAGGAGGUGCAGAAGUUAAUCUGUGCGGAAGAAAAUUUCCCCGGUCUUCUCCUCUUUAAAAAGAUUCUAUGCCGAGAGUGAGAAUCAAUCAAAAGUUGCAGAAACAUUUUGGAAAGGAAUUGAAGAGAGUCAACUGAAUUUCUAAAUUAAAUACUUAGUUU
rnacentral:lncRNA from 1 species